rnacentral:rRNA from 1 species
UACGUAGGUGGCAAGCGUUGUUCGGAUUUACUGGGCGUAAAGGGCGCGUAGGCGGCCUCUGCAAGUCGACUGUGAAAUCUCCGGGCUUAACCCGGAAAGGUCAGCCGAUACUGCAGGGCUAGAGUGCAGAAGGGGCAACUGGAAUUCUCGGUGUAGCGGUGAAAUGCGUAGAUAUCGAGAGGAACACCUGCGGCGAAGGCGGGUUGCUGGGCUGACACUGACGCUGAAGUGCGAAAGCUAGGGGAGCGAACGGG